rnacentral:rRNA from 1 species
GACGAACGCUGGCGGCGUGCCUAAUACAUGCAAGUUGAGCGAUGAAGCUUGGUGCUUGCCCCAAUUUGAAGAGCAGCGAACGGGUGAGUAACGCGUGGGGAAUCUGCCUUUGAGCGGGGGACAACAUUUGGAAACGAAUGCUAAUACCGCAUAACAACUUUAAACAUAAGUUUUAAGUUUGAAAGAUGCAAUUGCAUCACUCAAAGAUGAUCCCGCGUUGUAUUAGCUAGUUGGUGAGGUAAAGGCUCACCAAGGCGAUGAUACAUAGCCGACCUGAGAGGGUGAUCGGCCACAUUGGGACUGAGACACGGCCCAAACUCCUACGGGAGGCAGCAGUAGGGAAUCUUCGGCAAUGGACGAAAGUCUGACUGAGCAACGCCGCGUGAGUGAAGAAGGUUUUCGGAUCGUAAAACUCUGUUGGUAGAGAAGAACGUUGGUGAGAGUGGAAAGCUCAUCAAGUGACGGUAACUACCCAGAAAGGGACGGCUAACUACGUG